UGGGGAAUAUUGCACAAUGGAGGGAACUCUGAUGCAGCAACGCCGCGUGCGGGAUGACGGCCUUCGGGUUGUAAACCGCUUUCAGCCAUGACGAAGCUUUUGUGACGGUAGUGGUAGAAGAAGCACCGGCCAACUACGUGCCAGCAGCCGCGGUGAUACGUAGGGUGCGAGCGUUGUCCGGAAUUAUUGGGCGUAAAGAGCUUGUAGGCGGUUUGUCGCGUCGAUAGUGUAAACACGCAGCUUAACUGUGUGCCUGCUGUCGAUACGGGCUGACUAGAGGAGGGUAGGGGAGAAUGGAAUUCCCGGUGGAGCGGUGGAAUGCGCAGAUAUCGGGAGGAACACCAGUGGCGAAGGCGGUUCUCUGGACCUUUCCUGACGCUGAGAAGCGAAAGCGUGGGUAGCAAACAGG
rnacentral:rRNA from 1 species